CCUACGGGUGACAGCAGUCGAGAAUCAUUCACAAUGGGGGAAACCCUGAUGGUGCGACGCCGCGUGGGGGAAUGAAGGUCUUCGGAUUGUAAACCCCUGUCAUGUGGGAGCAAAUUAAAAAGAUAGUACCACAAGAGGAAGAGACGGCUAACUCUGUGCCAGCAGCCGCGGUAAUACAGAGGUCUCAAGCGUUGUUCGGAAUCACUGGGCGUAAAGCGUGCGUAGGCUGUUUCGUAAGUCGUGUGUGAAAGGCGCGGGCUCAACCCGCGGACGGCACAUGAUACUGCGAGACUAGAGUAAGGGAGGGGGAACCGGAAUUCUCGGUGUAGCAGUGAAAUGCGUAGAUAUCGAGAGGAACACUCGUGGCGAAGGCGGGUUCCUGGACACUAACUGACGCUGAGGCACGAAGGCCAGGGGAGCGAAAGGGAUUAGAUACCCGGGUAGUC
rnacentral:rRNA from 1 species